UACGUAGGGGGCAAGCGUUGUCCGGAUUUAUUGGGCGUAAAAGGCUUGUAGGUGGCCACGCCAAGUCGGAUGUGAAAUCUCCCGGCUCAACUGGGAGGGGUCAUUCGAUACUGGUGGCUCGAGGCCGGUAGGGGGAAGUGGAAUUCCCGGUGUAGUGGUGGAAUGCGUAGAUAUCGGGAGGAACACCAGUGGCGAAGGCGGCU
rnacentral:rRNA from 1 species